rnacentral:misc_RNA from 1 species
GAUGAAGAACGCAGCGAAAUGCGAUAAGUAAUGUGAAUUGCAGAAUUCAGUGAAUCAUCGAAUCUUUGAACGCAUAUUGCGCCCGCCAGUAUUCUGGCGGGCAUGCCUGUCUGAGCGUCAUUUCAACCCUCACGCCCCUAGGGCGUGGUGUUGGGGAUCGGCCAAAGCCCGCGAGGGACGGCCGGCCCCUAAAUCUAGUGGCGGACCCGUCGUGGCCUCCUCUGCGAAGUAGUGAUAUUCCGCAUCGGAGAGCGAUGAGCCCCUGCCGUUAAACCCCCAACUUUCCAAGGUUGACCUCAGAUCAGGUAGGAAUACCCGCUGAACUUAAGCAUAUCAAUAAGCGGAGGA